rnacentral:rRNA from 1 species
UACGUAGGUGGCAAGCGUUGUCCGGAAUCAUUGGGCGUAAAGGGCGCGUAGGCGGUUUUGCAAGUCGAAUGUGAAAGCCCAGGGCUCAACCUUGGAAGUGCAUCCGAAACUGCGAAACUUGAAUCCUGGAGAGGGUGGUGGAAUUCCCAGUGUAGAGGUGAAAUUCGUAGAUAUUGGGAGGAACACCGGUGGCGAAGGCGAGUCCCUGGACAACACCUGACACUGAGGCACGAAAGCUAGGGGAGCAAACAGG